ACGAGCGCUGGCGGCGUGCCUAAUACAUGCAAGUCGACGGGGGAUUAUGCUUGAUCGCUUCGGUGAGACGGCAUAUAUCCUAGCGGCGGACGGGUGAGUAACGCGUGGGUAAUCUACCUCGUAGUUCGGGAUAACAGGCCGAAAGGCUUGCUAAUACCGGAUGAGUUCAUGCUUAUGCAUAUAGGCAUGAAGAAAGGGCUAGCCCGCUAUGAGAUGAGCCCGCGUCCCAUUAGCUAGUUGGUGAGGUAAGGGCUCACCAAGGCGAAGAUGGUUAGGGGUUUGAGAGAGAGACCCCCCACAUUGGAACUGAGAGACGGUCCAGACUCCUACGGGAGGCAGCAGUAGGGAAUAUUGGGCAAUGGGCGAAAGCCUGACCCAGCCAUGCCGCGUGAAGGAAGACGGCCUUAUGGGUUGUAAACUUCUUUACUACGCGAAUAGAGGUUAGUACGAGAUACUAAUAGGAAGGUAGUGUAGUAAAAAGCACCGGCUAACUCCGUG
rnacentral:rRNA from 1 species